UACGGAGGGGACUAGCGUUGUUCGGAAUUACUGGGCGUAAAGCGCACGUAGGCGGAUUUGUAAGUCAGGGGUGAAAUCCCGGGGCUCAACCUCGGAACUGCCUUUGAUACUGCAAAUCUCGAGUCCGGAAGAGGUGAGUGGAAUUCCUAGUGUAGAGGUGAAAUUCGUAGAUAUUCGGAAGAACACCAGUGGCGAAGGCGACUUACUGGACGACUGUUGACGCUGAGGUGCGAAAGCGUGGGGAGCAAACAGGG
rnacentral:rRNA from 1 species